rnacentral:rRNA from 1 species
CUACGGGUCGCAGCAGUCGAGAAUCUUUAGCAAUGGGGGAAACCCUGACUAUGCGACGCCGCGUGUGUGAUGAAGAUCUUCGGAUCGUAAAACACUGUCAGCCCUGAAAAAUAUCUUCGCGUUAACAGCGCGAAGGCUUGAUUGUAAGGGCAGAGGAAGCCACGGCUAACUCCGUGCCAGCAGCCGCGGUAAUACGGAGGUGGCAAGCGUUGUUCGGAUUUACUGGGUGUAAAGGGCAUGUAGGCGUCCCUUCAAGUUCCGAUUGAAAUCCUUCGGCUCAACCGGAGAACGCGUCGGAAUACUGUCGGGAUUGAGUGCGGGAGAGGAAAAGGGAAUUCCCGGUGUAAGGGUGAAAUCUGUAGAUAUCGGGAGGAACACCAGUGGCGAAGGCGCUUUUCUGGACCGUUACUGACGCUGAAAUGCGAAAGCAAGGGGAGCAAACAGGAUUAGAUACCCGUGUAGUC